rnacentral:rRNA from 1 species
UACGUAGGUGGCGAGCGUUGUCCGGAUUUACUGGGCGUAAAGGGAGCGUAGGCGGAUUUUUAAGUGAGAUGUGAAAUACUCGGGCUCAACUUGAGUGCUGCAUUUCAAACUGGAAGUCUAGAGUGCAGGAGAGGAGAAUGGAAUUCCUAGUGUAGCGGUGAAAUGCGUAGAGAUUAGGAAGAACACCAGUGGCGAAGGCGAUUCACUGGACUGUAACUGACGCUGAGGCUCGAAAGCGUGGGGAGCAAACAGG